GGAGGCUGAGGUGUGGGGGAGGAGAGCUUCUGGAGCAGCUGUUCUUGAAAACUCUGUGAUGUGGCGUUGGGAAGACUCUGAGAAGCUCCUGCGAAAGGCAGACCCACCCUGCCCGCUGCCGGGGGACGGUGCUUCCUGCCGCAGCAGCAGUCUCCAUGCUUGGUGGAUGUAAGGUCUGAAGCAGCAGCUUGGGGAGUCCUGGAACGGACUGUGGUGGGGUCCGAGAUACGAGGGAGCCCUGCCCGUUGUCCACAGCUGCCGCGCAGCUCUGGCUCACCAGCCGCAGCAGACAGGACAGGCUGGACUGUGGACGGUGGUGCAGCCUAGAACAGGCUGGGGGCUCUGCUGUAGCUCACAGAUGCCGAGGCCCAGCUCCCAUUCGGGGUCAUAAAAUUACACAGCAGUCCUGUGCUCUGAAUGGCUCCAGGACAACUCUGCCUCAGCAAUUUCCAGCGCAAAUUUGCUUUUUGUUUGAGUCUGGAAAUAACAGCGGCAGGUUCCCCAGGGCCCAGGAAUCCAGCCACUGGCUCCUCCUGGUUUCUCCUGUCUGUGAGCAAGAUGCAGCCAGGUGCAUAGGGUGGCACUGAGAUUAAGUGACAACGACCUGACUUGGCUACCCCACAGAUGCCAAGACGCCACUCAGAGAGGGUCAGCAAGGACCACCAGGCCUCUCCACACCUCCCCCUGAUCGCACGAGUGGCCUGAAUCCUCCAUGUGCAGCCGAGGGGAGUCUCUUCUUCCAAUUCCAGGCAGCUCUUGGUACUAACCCUGAAGCGGCGAUGACCUGAGCAGCCGCGGCUGGGUGCAGGUCACAUUUAGAGAUUUCUGGUGAGAAUCUUUGCCCAGCUUCCCCGCUCCCUUGGCUGUGGCUACCACCCUCCCUGCCCAAAGUCCGUUCCGAUAAUUCAAAUCCUUCCUCUUCUGCACCCGGCCUGGUUCCUCUUUCUGUCACUUAUGGCUUCGGCCUUUGCUCACCGGUUCCUUCCAAAUGUUCCCUCUCUGAAUCUAGCUGGGUCCUUUCCAUGCCUAGCUUGCAAACACGUCAGACCUGAUCCCUACCUGCAAGCCCCCAUCUCUCCCGGGGGACCAGGGAGCCCGGGUUUGACAGGUGCAAUGAUCCAGUGCACGUGAGUGCCAGAUGCCCACAGGGAACACCAGAGGCCAAGGUCUUCCUAGGACUGGCAGCUCCGGAUGGUUCCCAGGGCAGAAAUAACCUGAGCCUGCUGCCCUUUCCUUCUUGAGAGUGACUCAGCAAGAAGCUGGCAGACAGAAACACGAAUCUAGUCCUGGAUCUUGCAGUGGGGGUAGCAGGCAAGGCCAUGGCCUUAGACUGUGCAUGGAGAGAAACAGGCUAGACGCAGAGUUGGGUGCUGAAAAGAUGCUUAACCUCACUUAGAAUAAGAGAAGUCAAAUGAAAACUGCACCCAGACCCCGUUUUCCACCUAGCAGAUUUGCGAAGAUCAAAGGUUAGAUGCCUCGCUGAGCUGGCAAGCAUGGGAAAGGCGCUCUCAUGCUCUGCUGGCAGGAUGCUGAACCCACGCAGCCGCCGUGGAGGGCAACCGGCAAUCUACUACGCGCACAAAUCCUGUCACCCAGCAAUUCCACUUCUGGAAAUAUGACGUCCAGCUGGGAAUGCACAUUUGUGAAACGACCUAGGUGGCACUGUUGACAAGAAUGACAAGGGAUUGGAGAUGUCCUCCAUAGGGGACUGAUUCCACACUUAUGAUAUGCCCUGGUGAUGGAAUACAGUGGCCAGCACAAAGCAUUAAGACCUGGUGAACAGAUAUGAAGCGUGUCCCAGGGCUAACGCAAAGUGCAAAAACAAAAGCACAGCAAAGCAGGAGAGGAGCAGGCUGUGGGGCCGGCAGGCUUCAAUUCUCAAUGAAGAAAUGGACUGGCAUGCACCAUCUGGUCAAAAAGGCAAAAGAGAUGGGGCUGGCCCCAUGGCCGAGCGGUUAAGUUCGCGCGCUCCGCUGCAGGCAGCCCAGUGUUUCGUUGGUUCGAAUCCUGGGCACGGACAUGGCACUGCUCAUCCAACCACGCGGGGGCAGUGUCCCACAUGCCACAACUAGAAGGACCCACAACGAAGAAUAUACAACUAUGUACCCGGGGGCUUUGGGGAGAAAAAGGAAAAAAAUCUUUUAAAAAAAGGCAAAAGAGAAACAGCCUGUAUGCUCGUCUGGAUGGUGUGCUAAGGGAUAUCAUCUGGAUGGAGACCCCCCAAGACUGAUUUCAUCCACUAUACGGGAGCGUUUUCAUGAUAUACCUUUUUAUAAUUUUAAAUUUUUGAACUGUGUGAAUAGAUUACCUAUUGAAGAAGAAAAUACAUUUUAUUUUGUUUUAAGUUUAUUUUAUUUACUUUUUUUGAGGAAGAUUAGCCCUGAGCGAACAUCUCUGCCAAUCCUCCUCUUUUUGCUCAGGAAGACUGGCCCUGAACUAACCUCUAUGCCCAUCUUCCUGUACUUUAUAUGUGGGACGCCCACCACAGCAUGGCUUGCCAAGCGGUGCCAUGUCCGCACCCGGGAUCCGAACUGGUGAACCCCGGGCCAGCAAAGCAGAACGUGCAGACUCAACCACUGAGCAACUGGGCCGGCCUGAAAAUGCAGUUUAAAAUACGUGGGCCCCACCUCUGUAAUGGAAUGCAAUGACCCCAGAUCUUGAGCGACCAGCAAGUUCCGGGACAGAAGGAGGUGGUGGAAGGGAGAGAUUGUUCCGUCUUAAUUCACGUGGCGUGUUACCUUUUACAAAAUGCGUCACUUUUGUUGCCACAGCUAAUGCUCAGCACAGUCCCUUUCUUUUUAGAUGAAGAAAAGGAGGCUCAGAGAGGCAAAGUGAUCUUUCAGAAGCCACACAGCAAGUGGCUGAGCCAGGACUUGCAUCUAGGCUUUCCUCCUCACAUGUGUUUUUCUACCUCCCCCUGUGGCUGGAGAGCCCUGGGGGCUCAAGUCACUGCUGUCCCCUUUUCCACCUAGGACAUGAUCCAGGCUUCAGUGCACACUGGUCCAGGCACCAGCUGUGCUAUCAGGAUGAUGUCAAAUUCUGGGUCAGCUGCAUCCUCCCUGGGAGACUUUGGGGAAGUUGCUUGUUGGGCCAGCUCUCAGUUGCUUCAUCUGUGAGGCAAGAACAAUAGUGCUACCCACUUCAGAGCGUUGCGGUGAGAGUUUCAUGAGCUAAGGACCAAGAAAACAGUAGCCUAGAAGAACAAACGGGCCAGGCUUCCGGCAGGCAGCCCGGAGUCCCCCGGGGCUGGGGGUAGCAGGGGGCGCCCCCCUCCCCCUCCCCGCUGAGGGCUGCUGCUCGUCUUAGAAUCUCGCCAGAUCAAAAGGAAAGUGCUUUGCAUCGACUCCAGUGUUCGAUCUGCCCCGUCAGCCCGCCGGCCCAGCGUUCGCCCAAACGGACGUGCUUUCUCCUUCCCUCUCCUGCUCCUGCUCUGUCUUGUCCUUCCUGUGCCUGCUCUGGCUCCCCGCAACCUGGAGGCAACGGACCUGAGAUUCUGCACAGAGAUCCAGGCCAGCGCAGCCAGCAGAGACAGGAGGAUGGUCACGGCUGUCCCCUGCAGGAGCCCGGUUCUGCCUUCUCACCCCCGCCCCCACCUCCCUUAAAUAGCCAAGAUUUGUUUCCUUUGGAAAUUACGGUCAACCAGAAAAAGAUUUGUGUGACGGCCACCGCAUUCAGGAUAAGAACAGGUCCACCGCCUCAAAACCCUCCCUCAAGCUUCCCUUUGGGGAGCCGCGCCCUCCCUCCCCACUCCCCACUCCCAACCCCCACCCCUGCCUGGCCACCGCCGUGUUUGUUCUCCGUCACUGCAGGUUGUCCUCUUGAGAAUGUCACGGAAGUGGAAUUCUAUGGUGUAAAUCCUACUGACUGGAGUUUUUCACUCAGAAGGUCUUUGAGAUUCAUCUCCAUUGUCGCACGCAUCAAUAGCUUCUUCUCUUUAUGACCGAGUGCUCUGCCAUUGUGUGGGUGGACCAGAGUUGGUUUAUCCAUUCAUUUGUUGAAGGACAUUUGGGUUGUUUUCAUUUUUUGGUGAUUAUGACUGGAGCUGCUAUAAAUAUUUGUGCACAGGUUUUUGUAUGAACAAAAAUUUUUAUUUCUCUAGGGCAGCGGUUCUCAACUGUAGGCAAUUUUGCCCCCCCAGGGGACAUUUGGCCAUGCCUGGAGACAUUUUCGAUUUUUACAAGUGGAGGGUGCUAUUUGCUUCUGGUGGAUAGAGGUCAGGGAUGCUGCUAAACAUCCUACAGUGCAUAGAACAGCCCCACGAUAAAGAACGAGCUGGUCUGAACAUCCACAGCGCUGUGAUCGAGAAACCCUGCCCUGGGGUAAAUACACAGGACCAAGAUUGUUGGGUCCUAUGGUAUGUGUAUGUGUGACUUCAUACAAAAUUGCCAAACUGUCUUCCAGAAUGACUUUACCAUUUUGCAUUCCCGCCAACAACGUAUGGGAGUUGUAGGGGCUUCACAUCUUAGGCAGAGCUUGAUGUUGUCAGUCUUUUUAAUUUCAGCCAUUCUAAUAGGUGUGUAGUGGUAUCUCAUUAUGCUUUUAAUUUGCGUUUCCCUAGUGGCUGACAAUGUGCUUAUUCACCAUCUGUAUAACCUCUCUGGUGAAGUGUCUAAGUCUUUUGCCAAUUUUUUAAUUAGGUUGUUUGUUUUCUUAUUGUUGAGUUUUGAGAGUUCUUUAUAUACUGUGGCUCUAUCUAUGAGAAAUCUAUCCUUUGUCAAAUAUGUGAUUUGCAUCUUGUCUUUCCACUCUCUCAACAAUGUCUUUUGCAGAGCAAAAGUUUUAAUUUUGCUGAAGUCCAACUUGUCAUCCUUUUCCUCUUUUGUGCUUUGGUGUCAUGUCUAAGAACUCUUUGCCUAACUCCAGGUCAUGAAGAUUUUCUCCUAAAAGUUUUGUAAUUUUACAUUUAGAUCUAUGAUCCAUUUUGAGUGAACUGUGAAGUUCAGGUUGAGGGCUCUUUUUUUUUGGUAUAUGAAUGUCCAAUUAUUCCAGCACCAAGAGCUGAAAAGACCAUCCUUCACCAUUGAAUUACUUUUGCUCCUUUGUCAAAAAUCAGUUGGGCCUCUUUGUGGUUGAUCUGUUUCUGGGUUCUGUUCUGUCCCAUUGACUGACGAUGUGUACCAACUUGCCAAUAUCUAUUGUCUCAGUUACUGUAGCUUUAUUUAUUUAUUCGUUUAUCUAUUUUUAUUUAUUUUGGGGGGGGGGAAGAUUAGCCCUGAGAUAACACCUGCUGCCAAUCCUCCUCUUUUUGCUGAGGAAGACUGGCCCUGAGCUAACAUCCGUGCCCAUCUUCCUCUACUUUAUAUGUGGGACGCCCACCACAGCACAGCUUGCCAAGCGGUGCCAUGCCCGCACCCGGGAUCCGAACUGGCGAACCCCGGGCCGCCGAGAAGUGGAACGUGCACACUUAACCGCUGUGCCACCGGGCCGGCCCCCAGGUCCUCUAUUCUUGCUGCUAGAACAGGGGCAAAGAAUUUGAUUUCUUCAGACCCCAUUUCGCUUGUCUGUAAAGUGGCAACUUCGCUAUCUGACCCGCCCAUCUCAUGGAAUUGCAGCAAUACUCUAACGACCAAGCACAGAAAACAUCUGGGAAGUGACAGCCCAAACUGGCAUCUCUAGGGAAUGGGAUGGGGGCGGCGAGUGGAGAAGGGGGGUCAUGGGGACAUCAUUCAUCUUCAAACAACUCUGAUCUUGUUUCAAAAUUUUAACAAGUAUGAAUUCCUUUU
rnacentral:lncRNA from 1 species